rnacentral:rRNA from 1 species
UACGGAGGAUCCAAGCGUUAUCCGGAAUCAUUGGGUUUAAAGGGUCCGUAGGCGGUUUUGUAAGUCAGUGGGGAAAGCCCAUCGCUCAACGGUGGAACGGCCAUUGAUACUGCAAGACUUGAAUUAUUGGGAAGUAACUAGAAUAUGUAGUGUAGCGGUGAAAUGCUUAGAGAUUACAUGGAAUACCAAUUGCGAAGGCAGGUUACUACCAAUAUAUUGACGCUGAUGGACGAAAGCGUGGGGAGCGAACAGG